UUCCUGAAUAUGUAUAUUUAUUUAAUUUUGGACUUUUUGCUUUUACAAGUAAGCCUGGUUAUUCCUUUUUCCUUUUCAUUUAAUUAAUGUCUAGCUUCUGUAGACUUGAAAUAUGUUAUCUUGAAGUUAAUUAUGUAGGAGAUUCCCAGAUACAGUACACAGAAGUAAAAUCUGUAUGUGAUGAAUUAGAAGUGGCUAGUAAAUACAAAUUGUACUGCUAGGCUGGAGCACCCGGGUCUCUUUGUCAUUUUUUUUCUUUCUUUCUUUUUUCUUCUUUUUUUUUUUUUUCAGCUUUGGGCCUGUGGAUGGAGCAUUUGUUUGCUUAAAAUUUUCAGAGUACCUAUUUCAUACGAAAAGUGAGGGUGGAUUUUGGCAUCACUGCAGGUUCUUUUUCCAGAACCUUUUGGCCUUUUUCAAGUGUCUGGGCUCUAACUCAAAGUUACUAACCACAUCUGGCAUCUGGAGCACAGAAAGUUCAAGGCAGGAUGUCUCAACAGCCUGCAAAGAGUUCCAAAAAUUUAGAGAUAUCAGCUUUUUGCCAGAAUCACAGCAAAAGAAGAAGGAUAUGGGAAAAAUAAAUACUACAAUGGGUUCUGCUGCUGCUAACAAUUGUCCAUCCAGUCACAGAGAAUAAGGUAUGAUUUACCAGUUGCCUCUUCCCAUCUGUAGGGGUGUAGUUUACUGCUGCUGCCACAGCCAGAGAGAAAGAGGGUUUAUUUAGGGCUUGUUAGUAAUUAAUAGCUGAAGAAACAUUUGCAUCAGGUCACUGUUGCCUGUCUCUCUGUUUGCCAUGUAACAGGUACAUAAGGGCAUCUUGAAAGUACCAUAAUCUCAGACACCCUCUACAAUAACCUGGGGCUUUACUUCAGGUGCUUCUUGAAGAAUGCACUUUGCAUGUGGCAGAGAAGACCACUGACCUUCUGUAUUGUGAGGGAGGGAGGGAGGGAAGGAGGAAGAAAGAAAGGAAGAAGGAAGGAAGGAAGGAAGGAAGGAAGGAAGGAAGGAAGGAAGGAAGGAAGGAAGCAGUAAUGGUUCUUAGAGUUUCCAUGACAGUGUCGAAGAACUUCAGAAAAAAUCAAUGGAAAGCAUACAUUCAUUUCUUCUUUUUCAUCUUAAUUCCAAGUGAUGUGGAAACGUUAAUAGUUGUAUUUAACAUCUUGUAAGCAACAAGUAUUGCAAAACUUUCACUGAGAAGUGGUUCAACCCCACAGCUCUAAUUCCAAAAAUUACAGAUAUUAUCAGGAAAAUAAUCUGGAAAAGCAGAUAAAUUUCAUUUUGGCAAUCCUAUGUGAUAAUACUUUAAUAUAAUACUUCUAAUACUUCAUACUUCCAUUUCUUUGUAUUUUUUUUUUUUUUUUUUACUCUCAUCCUUCCCAUUUAAUUUUUAUUUAUUUAGUUAGUUAGUUGUUGAACAUAUAAAGAGUCUUCAAAUCUAUCUGCUUUCCCAUACAGGGAAACACAAAUCAACAGGGUUGGAAAACUUUGACAUUUAUCAAAUAUCACAAAAAUAUGGCUCUUAAUCAUCUUUGGAUUCUGAAAAUGAUAAAAGUUCUGGUAACUGAACUGAACUGACCCAAAUAUUUUCCACAGCUUCUCAAUAAGUACUCUAAAAGUCUGAUACAUCUCCAGUUCAUAGCUUUAAUAUCUUUCAGAAUUAGUCUUUAAAUAUUGCUGCCAAACCGAUUUUGAACUUAUUUUGGUUGUGUUUUGUGCAAUGUAUGUCUCUGUUUUUUAACUCUGUAGAGGCAAUGAGGAAAAGGGCCUAAAUAGAUGUGUUCCUCUAGCUCUUUUAAAAUAUCUGCUAUUUUUCUAGUUGACACCAUCAUGUAAUAUAGACUGCAUCAUAUAAUUGCAUACUGUUAAGUCAAAGUAAAUUCAUGUGCUACUCUCUAAUUGUGAAAACAAAAAUAUCAGCCACAAUUAAAAAAAAAUGUUAUAGGAAAACAAAAAUAACAGCCACAAUUAAAAAAAAAAAAUGUUAUAGGAAAUAGCAAACUUAACUAAACAAAAAUGUAAUAAAAAACCAAUUGCAAAGUCA
rnacentral:lncRNA from 1 species